AAGAACCACCUUCCUAAUUAAACAGCAUAGAUACCCAAAAUAAGAGGAGGAAAGAAAGCCCGGUGAAUGUGACUCUGCCUGCUCCUCCUUUGUCACCUCCAGGUGUGACUGCAAGGACAAAAUUAUGUUUAUGAAGGAAGAAAUUGUACUUUGCAGAUAUUGGGAAUUUCAACUAUUUACGGUGGAUAUUUGUUAUGAACUAUGUGUACAUUAGAAAUUUAUAACAUAUGUGAAGCUCACAUGCACGUUGACUUGACGCAUGUUUAUUUAUUUUUUGUCUCACGGAAGGUUCAUGAAUCAUGUCACGCAUGAUAAGGAAAAAGACAAAAUGUAUUAUGAGAAAUUGAAGUUGCCUACUUACGCUUUAUGUUUGUAACUUCAAUUGAGGAUGACCUAUGGGUACUAGCUACAUAAGUACAUGCUAACAUACACCACCUAUUGUAUUAUAAUAUAAUCUUAAUACCUAUUGACUAUUGUAUUAAGUUAAUCUCAGUUCCCUCUUGCAAUAUCUUUUCCCAUUUGCCACUAUUGUAUUAAGUUAAUCUCAGCUCCCUCUUGCAAUAUCUUUUCCCAUUUGCCAUUGCAUUUACAAAAGUCUAUUUGGCUUAAUUGAUAUGCGAAAGGAGAGGAGAGAAAGUGUUAAUAAAAAAACCGAGAGAACUGGUAAAUGAGAAUACACGUCCUUUAUAAAAAUUCAACGGUUGCGGGAAUUAAAAAUAAAAUAAAAUAGGAAGACGAUCGACUAUCUGAUUUAAUUAAAUUUCAAUAUCUAUCAAUUCAAAACUAAGUCUAGUAUCGAAAAAAAAAGAGCUAACUAAACUAGUGAUUAGCGGGACUUAUCAAAAUGAUCAAAUUCGGAGCAGCAGAGCAGGAGAUUUUUCUUCUUCUUUCUUUUCUCAAUAGGACAAAUCUCAUUGAAUGAUUUUUUUUAUGCUAAUCAUCAAAUGAUAUUUUACAACAACUAAAUUUUAAUAAACAAGUUGAUUGGCUACUUAUAUAUGUUAUAUUAUAAAAAAAUUAAAUCAUUAUUUAAAAUAAGAUACUAAUUUGUUUUCAUAAUUAACAUUAAACAUAACGAAUGAUAUAUUUGUAAAUUUUCAAUAAAAUAGAGAUACUUUUAAUUUAAUGGAAGCAUAUGAUAUGAAAAUUUUGUUCUGAAAUUUAACCUUGAAUUUUUUAUUUUUUUUGUAAUAGACUAAAAUUCUUCGAAAAAUUAUUAAAAGAAAUUAAAUAAACUUAUCUGAAAAAAUAAUAAAACAUUCUUUAGUCAGAUUAUUGGAAAUGUUAUUCAUGAGAUUUUGGACAGGUGAUGAAAGUCUAUCAAAUGAAAUCUCUGUUACUAUGAUCUAUCACUGCAUAAAUGAAGCUUGAUUAAAUUUGGGGAUGUUGAGAGGCGUCUUACCUGGUGGUGGCCCUGAACCCGGAGCUGGAGCUGACCCUGAAAAUUCGGAAGAGAAAAAAACAAACAGAGCAAAAUUAAUUAAUAUUUAACAAUGUGCACUCAAAACAGGGAUAAUCAUCACGAAACAACCAUAGAAAAGGAAUAUAAUAAGAUGGGGUUUGUACCGUUUGUGCAGCUGGUGAUACCAUUGGUGACGCCGCAGCGGCGACUGAGAGCGAGAGCCUGAUCAACAGAGACGUUGAAGCUUUGAAGCAAGCCGGGGCUGAAGAAGAUGUUGCAGAGGCAAUCCAGUUGGUUUUCCACGGUUUGUUUGAGAGGGUCACAGCAAGAGCUUGGUGGGGUGGUUGUCCCAUUCAGAAAGUUCACACAUGGAAUUAGCUCCUGGGCGCAGGUGGUGCUGCUGCCCGAUUGCGCCUCCGCCAAACUCCUCAUCAACACCA
rnacentral:lncRNA from 1 species